CAGGCGGGCCAAGGAAGGCGCGAGGCGCCGGGUGCCGAGGGUCCCGGAGGUCCCGGGGGUCCCCGCGACCGGGCCGGGACGGGCCGAGCUCGCGCCUCAAACCCCAUGCCGGGUCCGCCGACCGCUCACCUAUGAUGGUCCGCGCCGCCGAGACGAUAACCACGGGGUCUGAGUCCGCACUCAUCCUGCCGCACUACUGCCUCUCGAGCUACGGUUGGCCCAGUGCAGCCGGCUAGUGAGCAAGAUCCAACCCCGCCUCUGACAUGCCGCUCUGGGGGCGGAGCCUCAGAGCGCCCCGCCCACCGCCUCCGCGGGCGCCGUGGGAGGAGUCCGUACCCUUCCGUGGGGCUGGCCACACUUGCCAAGUUCUUGUACCGGAAGAUCAGCUGUAGCGACGAGUGUGUGAGAGCCAGAGAGUCUCAGUGUCUCACAGAUCAAAAGGAUUUCCUCUGGUUGACUGCGGACAAUCUGGAAGGCGAGGAGCAAGUAAUCACAGCACAGCAACCGUCCAGACGGCUUGUGAGAUGUCAUCCUUAGAAGCUCACGUACAUUUUUCCCUCCUCCUCAAGAUGAAGGGAAGCAGAAUGGCGCAGUGUCCAAGUCAGCUCUUGGCACCUGGCCUGGUUCAGCUGCCAGCUUUGAGGUUGGUAUUGUCCAGGGAGCUUUAAUGACAGCACCCUGGAGGGCAGCUCCAACGUUUACCAACCGUUUGCUUUUUAUGUAACCCUUUUAAGUGCAUUUCCUAUUCUGUAUGUGGGGAUAACAAGUGCCUGUUU